UACGAAGGGGGCUAGCGUUGCUCGGAAUGACUGGGCGUAAAGGGCGCGUAGGCGGUUUGUACAGUCGGGCGUGAAAUUCCUGGGCUCAACCUGGGGGCUGCGUUCGAUACUGGAUGGCUUGAGUUCGGGAGAGGGAUGCGGAAUUCCAGGUGUAGCGGUGAAAUGCGUAGAUAUCGGGAGGAACACCAGUGGCGAAGGCGGCGAUCUGGGAAGAUACUGACGCUGAGGUGCGAAAGGCGUGGGGAGCAAACAGG
rnacentral:rRNA from 1 species